rnacentral:rRNA from 1 species
GACGAACGCUGGCGGCGUGCUUAACACAUGCAAGUCGAACGGAAAGGCCCUGCUUUUGUGGGUUGCUCGAGUGGCGAACGGGUGAGUAACACGUGAGUAACCUGCCCUUGACUUUGGGAUAACUUCAGGAAACUGGGGCUAAUACCGGAUAGGAGCUCCUGCUGCAUGGUGGGGGUUGGAAAGUUUCGGCGGUUGGGGAUGGACUCGCGGCUUAUCAGCUUGUUGGUGGGGUAGUGGCUUACCAAGGCUUUGACGGGUAGCCGGCCUGAGAGGGUGACCGGCCACAAUGGGACUGAGAGACGGCCCAGACUCCUACGGGAGGCAGCAGUGGGGAGUAUUGCACAAUGGGCGGGAGCCUGAUGCAGCAACGCCGCGUGCGGGAUGACGGCCUUCGGGUUGUAAACCGCUUUGGCCUGUGACGAAGCGUGAGUGACGGUAAUGGGUAAAGAAGCACCGGCUAACUACGUG